GGCCCAAACUUGUACAUGGUCUUACCUUAUGGCCUGUUAAGCGUGUCAAACCCAACAAAUAAAGGGUACAAAUGACUCCUUAAACACUACUACUAUGCACUAAUAAUGUAGUACAAGGUAAGUAGGGUCGAUCCACAGAGACACGGGACACAUGUUUAUACCUUUUUGCGUAAGGUACAAAAAUGGUCACAGAAUGGGGGGAAUUUAUAAGCAAUGAUUUAAACUAUAGAAUAAAUCAAUAAGUAAAUGAUUGAUUUAAUGAAGUAGAUUCAAGAUUUGUAAGGACUCCAACUCCAUGCAAGACAAAUUAGCAAUGUAAUUCCAAGGAUGAAAUGAUAUUUGUUCAAUUCUAUCUAAAUUGGUACAUGGAAAUGCUAACAAGAUCUAGCACCUCCCAUUCACCACAUUCAUUAACCAAAAUAAGCUCUUUGAUUAAUCCUAACCUUAGCAAUCUAAUCUAAACAAGCUCUUAGAAUUAGGUUGAAAGAUUGCAUUAAAAUUUAUGUGAAUGUUCCCAACAACACUCAAUACUCCUCAUAAGCUCGGGAGCAUAAGAAUGUGUGAAUAAGAUUUACACUAAAUUCAUUCAAUAGAAAUCAAUUUAGUGCUUGUUACCUAGUCCAAUUUACAAAACAAUUAUGGAUUUUGCAAUUAGAUAACUUGAAUGAUCUAACCCUAAUUCAAAUGGCCAAUAAGAAUCACAAUUAGAAUCAAACAUUCGAUUGAAACAAAAUCAAAUUCACUAGAUAGAAAAUUGAAAGAAAACAUCAAGUCAUAUGAUUGAAAUCACAACUAGAAGUCAAGACAUAAAGUUGGAGAAUCUAAGGUUCUAGCCACUCAUGACUAGAACAAGAUCACAAAUCUAGAAAAUGAAAUUAAAGUUCUUACAAAAUGAAAUCAAAUGUUCCCAAGUGUUGAUCAACUUCAAAAUCCUCAAGAAAAUCGCCUUCUCUACUCCAAAAGUCGACCCCCUUAAGUAAAAAGUCGGUUCCCCCUUUAAGAAUGGUGAAAAACUGCUUUAAAACCCACGUUUACGUUUACACUUGCCCGCGUAAAUUAACAUUGUCAUUUACACGUCCCGCGUAAACGCAAAAAUAUACUACGCAUAAAUCUACGUUUACACGGCCCGCGUAAACGCAAGGCUUGCAUUUACACGGCCGUGUAAAUCUCUGUAAAGCCAAAAUCUUCAUUUCUUUGAUAUCUUGCUCCUCGGUGCUCCGCAAGUCCUCAAAUUUUGUCCGCAACUUUUAUUUACCUCAUCCAACAAUAUCCUACCUCCAAAAGUCCUUGAAAUAUCACAAAAGUAUUUGAAUGAAAAUUGCCUCAUGAAAAAUCUCGAAAAACAUGCAAAAUGCAUGAGUUUAAGCCUAUAUGCAAUGUACUUUUAUGAAAUAAAGAUACAAAAUGGGUACAUGAAAUGCACCUAACAAAUCUCCCCAAGAUUAAACCUUUCUUGUCCUCAAGAAAGAACAAGAAAAUUUAAACCGGAGAAAAUAAAAUAAAAGAGAAGAAAAGAAAAUCAAAGUUAAACUUUUUUUUGAAACUUGAUGCAAGAAAUCAAAACAAACAUGAAAAAAUAUAUCCAACCCAAUUAACUCUUUUUUGUACCAUAGUUGAGAAUAUACCUGUCAUGCCUUGAGUCAACUUGGCUUUAGUCUCAAAAUAUUAUAUAACAAUAGAAAUAAGACCUUAGACACUCCCUAAUACAACUCAACAGAAUCAAAGAUCACCACACUUGUUCCUUCUCAAUAUUAGCAAGUCAAUUAAUAGAACAAAUUAUGGUCUUACUCUCGUGAAAUUGUAUGUGACAAAACAUGCUCAAUCAUCUUUGUUUCAUAAAAUAUAACAAUGUCUGAUUCCAACUAUUUAUUGGUCAACAACAAUCUUUUUCUGAAAAAUCUUUUCUAAAAAUUCCCUAAUAUUUAUCCAGAUUGGUUACAAACUUCAAACCACUUACACCAGUCAAAGUAAUUAACAUUCAGUCCAAUGUCAUAAGUUCAAAUCCAAGUCCAAGGGAAUCUUUUGACAGCCAAGUAUUUUUCCUAAACACAAUAUUCAAUUAAACUAUAAACACAAUUAUAUACAAACUUCUUAAUUAUAUUUUUUUUACAAAUAAAGCUCAUGGCUUUCUUUGAAAUCCGUGUAACGGGCUUCCAACCAACACAUCCAGAUCAAAUGAUCUUAGUGUGCUAGAUUUAAAAGGAUCCCUCGGGUUUACUUGCCUGAACCUCAAAGGCCACAAACUACUUUAUUUGGUUAUUAAGUUCAUGACUUUCUAUGGAACCCGUGUAGCGAACUUUCAACCCAAUCAGUCCCAAACAAUUUAGCUUUAGGCGAUUAGGUGUAGAACACCCCUCAGAGUUUACUUGUUCGAGUCUCAAAGGUCACAGAUUAACUUAAUAAAUAAAUAUAUUUUUUAUUAUUUUUAUUAUAUAUNNNNNNNNNNNNNNUUUAUUUAUUUAUUUAUUUAUAUCUAACUAAGAUAACACAUCACACUCUUAUUAAUUUAUUUAUUUGGUUUAUUUCUUUUUAUUUUUGUCCAUGACUUUUCUAUUGUGGGAUAUCUCACGGUCUAUUACCGUGAGAGAUUUCUAGACAUUUUUCAGGGGACUGAAGUCAACAUGCAAAGACCCGUAGGUAUAGUUGGAAACUAUGUCCCCAAGCACGGUAUAUAAAAGGGAAUCAGUAGAAAUGACUUUUUACAGCGCUGGAAGGCUUAGAACAUUGAGAUUUUGUAUUCUUUUUAUGAACUUUUGAAUUUGGCAUUUUAAGUUCAAUUGAGCAUUACUACUCAUAAGACCGGUCAUAUGUCCCAAAGAAUUAACUCAAACCUGCUGUUAUGCUCUAAUGUUGACAAUCUUCUCACUAUCUGUUUUGCACAAGUAGCUUUGGGAGGUGUGUUCGUGUGCGAUUGACUUGCUUUAGAUUUUUCAAUAAAAAAGAGCAAGCCAAUCUCAAGGCACAUGACUCGCUUACCAGCUCAACUGUUUUGAAAAGAUUCGAUUGCUUGGGAUUGGAUCAAUUUCUUAUUUAUUUUUUUUAUUUUUUUUCAACAAAUGAAUGCAAUGCAAAAAUUUAGAUGCAAAAUGCAAAGAAUAAUAAUAAACAUAAAGAAAAUCUUUUUGGUUUUUGAAAAAAAAAUUAUAUGUAGAAAAAUGAAAAAGAAAAAUAAUGCAAUAUGUACAAAACUACAUGCAACCUACAUGCAACGGGAUUUAUGCAUGGAUGGAUGCCCCUCUCCAAGAUUAAAAUAUAGCAUCGUCCUCGAUGCUUGGAGAGAGGCAUAGUCGGCCUAUUAAGAGUCGGAUGGUGGAGGAUGGUAGCUGAUUUUGGAAUGGGUCCAAAACAGUCACAAAUCCACAUCAAUUGAAUUUUAAGUAAAAUAUGAACGAUUAAAGAUGUGGAAAGAAUUUACUAAAUCGUUCUUGGUGCCUCACAAUUGUGGUGUGAACCUCCUCUUCAUCCUCCCCAAGCUAUUCGUGAAGUAUUUGUGGAGUCGGAGAUUCAUUUUCUAGGCAUAAAAAAUAAGUUUAAAACCAUUUGGGACAUUAAAAAAAAUUGAAAUUUACCAAAGACUAAAAAGUUUUAAAAGAAAGGAAAAAAAACCCUGGGUUGCCUCCCGGUUAGCUGCCCUUGGUUUAAGUCGUUCGCUCGACUUGGCCCCUAAAUGUGCUUUGUUCUAAGUAGGUGGGACUUUACAACACAUUAACCUUCUCUCCACUUCCUUCAAUUGAAAACUAAUCUUCUACCUGACUUUUUUUAAAGCACCUGCUCACAAAAUGCUUGUCAUAAACAAUUAGUAACAACGUGUCCCCGGCAACGGCGCCAAUUUGUUAAGCGUGUCAAACCCAACAAAUAAAGGGUACAAAUGACUCCUUAAACACUACUACUAUGCACUAAUAAUGUAGUACAAGGUAAGUAGGGUCGAUCCACAGAGACACGAGACAUGUGUUAUACCUUUUUGCGUAAGGUACAAAAAUGGUCACAGAAUAGGGGGAAUUUAUAAGCAAUGAUUUAAACUAUAGAAUAAAGCAAUAAGUAAAUGAUUGAUUUAAUGAAGUAGAUUCAAGAUUUGUAAGGACUCCAACUCCAUGCAAGACAAAUUAGCAAUGUGAUUCCAAGGAUGCAUUGAUAUUUGUUCAAUUCUAUCUAAAUUGGUACAUGGAAAUGCUAACAAGAUCUAGCACCUCCCAUUUACCACAUUGAUUAACCAAAAUAAGCUCUUUGAUUAAUCCUAACCUUACCAACCUAAUCUAAACAAGCUCUCAGAAUUAGGUUGAAAGAUUGCAUUAAACUUUAUGUAAAUGUUCCCAACACCACUCAAUACUCCUCAUAAUCUCGGGAGCAUAAGAAUGUGUGAAUAAGAUUUACACUAAAUUCAUUCAAUAGAAAUCAGUUUAGUGCUUGUUACCUAGUCCAAUUUACAAAACAAUUACGGAUUUUGCAAUUAGAUAACUUGAAUGAUCUAACCCUAAUUCAAAUGGCCAAUAAGAAUCACAAUUAGAAUCAAACAUUCGAUUGAAACAAAAUCAAAUUCACUAGAUAGAAAAUUGAAAGAAAACAUCAAGUCAUAUGAUUGAAAUCACAACUANAAAAAAAAGCAAAAACAUAAAGUUGGAGAAUCUAGGGUUCUAGCCACUCAUGAGUAGAACAAGAUCACAAAUCUAGAAAAUGAAAUUAAAGUUCUUACAAAAUGAAAUCAAAUGUUCCCAAGUGUUAAUCAACUCAAAAUCCUCAAGAAAAUCGCCUUCUCUACUCCAAAAGUCGACCCUCUUAAGGAAAAAGUCGGUUCCCCCUUUAAGAAUGGUGAAAAAUUGCUUUAAAACCCACGUUUACAUUUACACUUGCCCGCGUAAAUUAACAUUGUCAUUUACACGGCCCGCGUAAACGCAAAAAUCUACUGCACAGAAAUCUACGUUUACACGGCCCGCGUAAACGCAAGGCUUGCAUUUACACGGCCGUGUAAAUCUCUGUAAACCAAAAUCUUCAUUUCUUUGAUAUCUUGCUCCUCGGUGCUCCGCAAGUCCUAAAAUUUUGUCCGCAACUUUUAAUUACCUCAUCCAACAAUAUCCUACCUCCAAAAGUCCCUAAAAUAUCAC
rnacentral:lncRNA from 1 species